UGGUGAUUUGGAUUCGGUGCCAUAGGAUGUGGGAUUACAGUGGAAAAACUCUAAGCUCUUAACGCAAUUAUGAGGUAAAGAGAAAUUCCAAACCUUGUGUCUUAUGGAUGCGAUCUAUGAUUAUUUUUAGGUUAGUUGAAGAAUUGGGUCAAAACUCAAAUUGGGUCUCUGUAUUUACAGAUUUUUCUUUAUAUUUCUUUAUAAAAAUCCAUGCUUUUUUUUCCCCUUCUUCUUCUUCCCCGAAGUCUGGCGUGCGGUUGAUUCCAUCACUCCCUGUCUGUCCGAGAUGGGUGUUCGAAAGGGCAAUGUGUCCUCCUCCUUUUCCCCAAUUACAUCUUCUUCCCAGUAAUUUGCCUCUCCGUCAUGUCUCUCGGUGCCAUCAUCACCACCACUAACCCUCUCAACACCCCUCGAGAUCCGAAAACAGAUCACCGAUUCCAAACCCAUCAUCGCCUUCACCACUCUCCCUAAACUCUCCGGCACGGGUCUUCCCGUCAUUCUUAUCGGACAACACGACAACCUCUCCAUUAAGCAAGCCAAGAUCGUCUCCUCGCUUGAAGAUACGAUGAAGAAGGAUCCAAGCGAAAUCGGAAACCGAGUCAGGGAACGAGUGAGACUAGACGAUACGGCAACGCUGCUCUACUCAUCUAGCACCACCGGCGCCAGCAACGGCGUGGUUUCGUCGCAUCGGAACCUGAUCGCGAUGGUUCAUAUGGUCCUGAACCCUUUCAGCAGGGAUUUGGCCGGAGAUGUGAGCUGCAAUGGCGAUGUAGAGGCUAGUGAUGCGGUUUGUACUGUUGGAGUUGUCACCGCACUUCUGAAACUGGUUUUUGACAGAAGAUAGAAGAAGAAGCAGAAGUGGGUAAAAUCGUUAUUUUCAUUUGAAAAACUAACACGGCGUUAGUUUGGAUGAAUUUAAAUGUAUUUUUUUUUUUAUUUUCAAGAGGGAUGAUGUAAUUUGAGCAAAUGAUAGAGGAGGUUGAUGUAAAUCACCCUAAUUACUUUAUCAAUUAGUGUAUAUGACCUAAAAUCAAAAACCACUCCCUCUGUUUUUUUUCA